GUGGUGUGCUCAGAUGGUGAAAAGAGGCCUCUCUGUUUACACCACACCCAACAUGAAUCAGGCACAACAAGGAGCACAACGCUUAUGUCCUCCCUGUGAGCAAGUGCUCUACAUGU